GGAGGAGGAGGAGGAGGAGGAAGAGGAGGAAAUGCCAAGAAAGGUGGUGAUGAUUUUGAGAUACCUUUGGUCAUGAAGGGCAAAGGCAACAAUAAUGAUGGGAAGAACGGGAAUGGAGGAAAGAAAGGUGGAGGUGGUGGUGAUGGGAAGAAUGGUCAUAGCAAGGGAGGGAGUGUAAAACAAGAUGGUAAAGAUAAAAAUGGCAGCAAAAGUGGGAUUGGAGGGUUCUUGAGUUUUGGGAGGAAGAGUAAAAAUGGAAGAGAAAGUAGUACUGAUAAGAGCUUCAAUAAUGGUGGCUCAGCUGGAAACAAUAAUUCCAAUGGGACCAAGAAAGGUGGAGGCAAAAACGAUAGGGUCCAUGAUUCUAACAAAAUGAAAAAUGGAUACCAUGAAAUUGAUGUUAAUAGGGGUGGUGGUGGUGGUGGUGGUG
rnacentral:misc_RNA from 1 species